UCGUCACAAUAGAAUCUAAGACAACGCUUUAAAAUCAAGCGUUGAGUUUGAAUUAGGCUUGGGGCUAAAUUAUGCAAGGAGCUAGGGGGACGGAUCCCGCACAUUUUCAUUUCUGAUUUUAAGACCGAGCGCCACAAUUUCCCCCCUAAAUUUUCAUUUGACCGCUCCGUAAAAACCCUAAAACCCAUUCAAAUCCCCAAUUCUUCAUUCAGCCAUCUCCCAAUCUCCUCCUUUGCGUCUCAUCCUCCUCCGCUCGAACUUCCCACACAUCUCCACGCCGACCUCGAUGGUGUCGAGAUCCCUCCGGAUCAGCAGCGGCUCAUUUUCGUAGGAAAGCAGGUCGAGGAUGGCCGGACCCUGGCCGAUUACAACAUCCAGAAGUAGUUGACGCUCCACCUCAUCCUCCGCCUCCGCGGUGGCGCCAAGAAGAGGAAGAAGAAGACCUACACCAGGACCAAGAAGAUCAACGCUCCGUUCUCCCCCAAUGGAGCAGCUGGAUUAGGGUUUUGUUGCUCUCUGAAACUUUGCCCAAAUUGAGUGAAGAUAGAGGAGAGCUUACCAAUGAAUCAUAAUCAAGGGGAUGAAGCGAGGUCUCUUGUUGUUGCGAUUGAGGACGACCCUUUGGCCGAAGUGGGUCAGUCCUCUUCGAAGAGCCAUGCCCGAGAUGCUCACAUAUUAAGUUUAUCUUUAUUCUUCAUCUUCUGUGCUUACGGUGCUGCUCAGAAUCUCGAGAGCACUGUCAACACCAAGGGGGACCUUGGAACAACGUUGAUGGGGAUACUUUACACUUCGUUCACUCUGUUCUCAGUGGUGGCUUCGCCAGUUGUGAGGGGCUUGGGGACGAAGCGGGCUCUGGUUUUGGGUACCCUAUGAAUA